rnacentral:misc_RNA from 1 species
ACGUAUCCAACGUUAAACCCCCCUGUGAACUUUUAUCGUGCUCUUGCAACCCGCAAGUAAACAGCAAUCCUGGUAAAUCAGUCGCGAAAGUUGAUAUUGAUUCAGGACCUCUGUGUUGUGAGAAUUAUAUAGUUGCAAUUGAGCGCUCGAGGCAAGUGGCUUGGUUUCCCAAAGCAAUUAGUGUCUGAAAGUGUCACUGGUUGUCGCAGGAUAACGCUUUACGAUCGCUGUAGGCCGAACACCGGCCGGCGUCUAGGUCACCGGGCUCACGCCCCCUACAAACCCCACAGUUAGCCUAACCGCAACCUCCGCAACGCAAGUGCACCGCCGGGGUUGGAAAACGAACAACUGUUAACAAUGGAUAUCUUGGUUCU